CACGUAGGGGCUAGCGUUAUCCGGAAUUACUGGGCGUAAAGGGUGCGUAGGUGGUUUCUUAAGUCAGAGGUGAAAGGCUACGGCUCAACCGUAGUAAGCCUUUGAAACUGGGAAACUUGAGUGCAGGAGAGGAGAGUGGAAUUCCUAGUGUAGCGGUGAAAUGCGUAGAUAUUAGGAGGAACACCAGUUGCGAAGGCGGCUCUCUGGACUGUAACUGACACUGAGGCACGAAAGCGUGGGGAGCAAACAGGAUUAGAUACCCGCGUAGUCCCUGAG
rnacentral:rRNA from 1 species